rnacentral:rRNA from 1 species
GAUGAACGCUGGCGGCGUGCUUAAUACAUGCAAGUCGAGCGAACAGACCAGGCGCUUGCUCCUUUGACGUUAGCCGAACACGGGUGUGUCACACGUGGAUCCUCCACCUAUAUGACUGGGAUAUUUUCGGGAAACCGGCGCUAAUCCCGGAUAAUAUAUUGCACCGCAUGGUUCAUUAGUGAAAGACGGCUUUGCUGUCACUUAUAGAUGGAUCCGCGCCGCAUUAGCUAGUUGGUAAGGUCACGGCUUACCAAGGCAACGAGGCGUAACCGACCUGAGAGAGGGGUAGGCCACACGAGAGCUGGGACGCGGACCAGGCGCCUGCGGUAGGCAGCAGUAUCGAAUCUGCGGCAAUGGGCGGAAGCCUGACGGAGCAACGGCGCGUGAGUUAUGAAGGUCUUCGGAGCGUAAAGCUCUGUUAUUAGGUAAGAACAAAUGUGUAAUGAACUGUGCACUUCGUGACGGUACCGGGUCAGAAAGCCACGGCUAACUACGUG